CAGGUCAAAAGCAUCUUUCUUCAUCCAGAGCCAUUUUCCAUUGAAAAUGGGCUCUUGACACCAACCAUGAAAGCAAAGCGGGGAGAGCUUUCCAAGUACUUUCGGGCUCAAAUCAGCAGUCUGUAUGAGAACGUCCAGGAGUAGGGGAAGUUUGCUGCAGAGCUGGAAGCUGGGGGGGAAGGAGUUGAAACUCAUGUCAAGUGCACUUUUCCGGUAAACGAAGCAGGCACCAAGCAACAACCUCCUGAACUGGAAACAAAGACCUACGGGCAAGCACGAAGCCUGCGUGACAGGCUUACCUUCCGGGAAGGAACUCCUCUUCCCUUCCCUGGACCCCGGUUCCUGCUGUGCCUUACCUCCGUCCAACACGUGUUGCUCCCAUUUGUCAGUGUACAGUGCUUAAAAUAAACUAUUGCAGGUAACUUA